ACCUCUCCCGAAGCCUCUGAGCACUGCACUUCUGUCCCCUUCCCCAACUUUGGUUUUGCCAAACCUGGCAAAUGUGGAUCUGGCAAAGAUCAGUUCCAUCCUUAGCAGCCUAACAUCAGUCAUGAAAAAUACGGGUAAGUGAGCCACUGAUGAUGCUGAGCCACUGAUUUCCGUCUUUGUUUCAUUGAACCAGCAAAGUGGGGUUUUUUUGUUGGUGGUGGUGGUGAAAUUAGUACAAUUUUUUCAUUAAAAAUACAUUAAAAAUGGAUGGACACCUUAGAAAAGCCAAAAAAUAAUAUUACUACACCAAAGAAAACCACAUAUAUAUAUAUAUACACACACACACACAUAUAUACACAUAUAUACAUAUAUAUACAUGUAUGUGGAUUUGAGAGAUUAGAUAUUUAGAAUACUUUUUCUUUUAAUAAUUGAAACAUUGCCUAUAUUAUCUUUAAAUCAGCUUAUUUAAAACUUCAGUAUGUAUGACAAAUUUUUAGUUAUUAAAUAUUCAUUUAAACAGCUGGUUGUGGUGGCACACACCUGAAAUCUCAGCACUUGGGAAAAGAGGCAGGAUAUGAGGCAUUCAGGGAUAGCCUGGGCUACAUGAGGCCCUUUCUGGACAAAAAUGAUGGAGAUGGGUAGGAAGAUGGUUCUGUGAGUGAAGUGCUUGAUUUCGUAAGCCUGAGGGCCUGAGCUUAGAUUGCCAGCACCCACACAACAACCAGGCUUAGCUGUGUGUGCCUGUAGCUCCACUGUUGAGAGUGAGUACCCACUGGUAGAUACUGGGGAGAAGCAGCCAGUCUAGCAGAAACCUGAAGUUCCAGAUUCAGUGAUUGACGUAAUCUCCCAAAAUUAGAUAGUGACAGAGGAAGGCACACGGUGUCAUUUUGGUCUCCAGGUACACACAAUGUGGGAGUGUAUAACUGUGCAUGUACCACACACAAGAAAAGUCAUGUGCAUCAACUUUAAUGGCUAUUGUAGUAUAUGGUAAUUCUUGUUAUUAGACAUUACUAUGUUUUCAGCUUUUCAUUUUAUAAAGAAUACUGAAGUCCUUGCCAUGCAAACCUGAUGAGACCUACAUUGAAUCUCCAGGAUCCAUGUACAGGUGGCAGGAGAGAUGUGACUCCUCAAAAUUCUCCUCUAACCCACAUCAUCCACACACUAGCAAUGAUAAUAGUGACAGGAGGACUGUACUGCACACGCAGGUGCAGAAGGACAGACAGAAGCAUUGUAUCUCAUCUGCACCCUGCCCAGGGUAGUAUUUGGGGGCAUGUGAACUAGAUGUGCUACCACCUGUAACCUGAGCCCUGAGGAAGCCAAGCAGGAAGAGUAAGAAUUGAAGGCCAGCCUGGGGUAUAUUGUGAGUCCCUGUUUAAAAAACACAAAACCAAAAGACAGCAUGUAGCUUUUUAAAUUGUUAUCUAAGAGUAUACUAUUUUAUAUACCUAGUGUUUGGAAAUUUAAUUGUUCCUAACCUUUUCCAUUGUCACGUUCAAUCUUGAAAAGAUAAUAUUUUAAUUAAAGUUUUUUUUUUCAUUUGUUCACUUAUAUUUAUUUGUAAAACAUCUGUUCAUAGUGGUUUGGUCACAUUUUAAGAAACCAAAUGUUUUUCUUGCGUCUGCGUUUACCUUUUUACUGUGCUUUGAAGUGUAACAGUGUAAAGGAAUUUAUUUGUAUAAUGUCACCUUAAAGGCUGUGUAAGAGGAAAACCCUUGCCACUCCCAUAGACAUGCAGUGAAGGUGCUCUGCAUUGGUAGUGCCUCUGAUCCUGUCGUCCUGCUGCAUUCGCUGAGCAGCGUGGGUGCAGAAACAGAUUGCCGCUCUGAAAACCAAGGAAUGUGCAUGAAAAUAACAUAGUGCUUGUUUGUUUUAAGAAUAUUCCAAACAGAAACAACAGUUCAUAUUUUCAGAUGUUUUUCUUUGUAUGUGUCAAAAUGGGCACUGUUUGUGGAUCAGUCAACCAGAAUUACUAUUAAACAAUCUUUCAUUGACUGGAAAGUGUCAUGAAUUGAGUAUUGCAUUUUCUUGAGUUCAUCUUUCUGCCACCAGGGGUCAGUUCUGCAUCAAGACCUUCUCCAGGAAUUCCUACCAGUCCCAGCAACCUCAGCAGUGGCCUGAAAACACCUGCACCUGCCACAACACCAUCUCACAACCCUCUGGCAAAUAUCCUGUCAAAGGUGGAGAUCACCCCAGAGAGCAUUCUCUCUGCUCUUUCUAAAACCCAGACACAGUCAGCCCCUGCACUCCAAGGUAAACUGACAUGUGCCAGAGGGACUUGAAUUGUGAAUGUUUGUCUCCAGGGUAACCUUGAAUUCUAACUCAGAGGAAUCCAAAGUCAUGAAAUGUACAAUACAGUUAAUUCAUUACUGUCUUUAUACUUAUCAUUUAUGAGGUAGCAGUUAUAGAAUUGAAAAUGUCAACACUAAAACAGACUCUAAAUAUUAUCUAGUAACACCCUCCCAUUCAGGUAAGGAGACCAAGCUCAUGAGGUGAUGUGGUUGGUUAAGGUAAUGCGUUCGUCUGAUGUGUGAUGAACUGAGACUAGAAGCCAGACUUGUUGGUUUGCUAAUAAUAUUCCAUCCUACGGCAGGGCACAACUGUAGCUUACAUUAACCCUAGCUCUUAGUGCAGGGUAGUGUGUGUGUUGAGUUUUAAUAUUAUAACCUAUAUCAAACAUAACCUAUAUAUCUUGUUUUCUCCCUUCUGUUUGUAGUCUCUGCCUCAUUUAAACUUCUAUUUUUUGCUUUCUCAGUUGUCUUGUAUAUACAACUGCCUCAGUUUUUCAUGAAUCACUUGAUCUUUCAAUUCUUAUUUUCCAGAUUCCUACACAACCUUCUUAAACAUCUCAGUAUAAUGAUGCAGUUAAUUGUAAAUACCAGAUCUGUAUCGUUGCUAAAGCCAGGGACUUCUAGGUGACACUUAGUAAUAACUAGAGAUACUUUUGUUUGUUUCAACUGGGACAGAAACUCCUAAGCACUAAUGGGUCAAUGUCAGAGAAAUGUCGUUGAAUAUCUUAUAAUGCAUAGAAUAGUCUCCAACCACAAAAAAAUGUAUCUAUGCUAGAAUAUCAGCAGCGAUAAGGUAAGGAACCCUGUCCUUAUGAGUAGAGCAUAUAAAUAGCUAUUACUUUCUGUUCCUGAACUGUUCUGGGACAGUCUAUUACUAUUGCUUCUUCAGUAGUCAUUCAAAGAGAGUUUUAUUUUACAGAACUAAAUAGAAGAUCCAGUGACCUUCUGAAACCCUUCUCUGUUGGAACUAGCAAUUAAGAAUUGAUGUUUCCAGUAAUCCCAAUUCUUAGAAGACUAGAUCCCCAGUUACAGGCUAGCCUAUGCUGCAGUGGGAUGUUACUGUUUUUUCGUUUUCCUUUUUCUUUUUUUAAAGAUUUAUUUUAUUUACAUGAGUGCACUGUAUUUUUUCUUUUUUAUGGCACAAAAUAUUGAUGAUAAUCUACAAUAUUUGAUUGUGUACAGCUCAAGAGAUUUUGAUGCUUUUGACUUUGCACUUUCUGUUGUCAUUCUAUAUAGAUACAGAAAAUCUUGAAGUCACGUAUAUUAGUUUCUCCUAUAGAUGCAACACGGUAUUUAUAGAGUUCCUUUUGCUCUGCAGAUUGCAAGUUGUCCUUCUUGUCACUUGAAGAAAUCAGAUCUGACAGGAUAAGAAAUAAAAACACAAAAAAUACCUCCUUAUGGAAUAGCAGAGUUUGUCAUUUUUCUUUUGCUUUUAGAAAGUGGAAUUCCUAGCCAAGUGUGGUGGCAUGCUGCAAUCCCAGCACUUGGAAGGUAGAGGCAGGUAGAUCUCUAUGAAUUCAAGACCAGCCUAGUCAACAGAGCAAGUUCCAGGGCUACAUAGAAAGAUCAUGGAAAAAAGGGAAAAAUUCCAUUUUCGUGGGGGAAAUAAGUGGAGUUUUCCUUUUAAAAAAAAAAAAAAAAGACUUAUUUGUUUUAUAUAAGUACACUUGUAGCUGUCUUCAGACACACCAGAAAAGUGCAUCGGGUUCCAUUACAGAUGGUUGUGAGCCACCAUGUGGUUGCUGGGAAUUGAACUCAGGACCUCUGAAAGAGAAGUCAGUGCUCUUAAUCACUGAGCUGUCUGUCUGGCCCCAUGGAAUUUUCCUUAACCGUUCAGUAUGCUAAAACAUAAAUGCUCAUGUUUACUCAACACUAUAAACAAAAAUCUUUCAGAGGCUAGCAAGAUAGCUUAGUGGGUAAAGCUACUUGCUGCCAAAGCAGACUACCUGAGACCCACGUGGUGGAAGAAGAGAACCAGCUCCCUAAAAUUGUUCUCUCUCUAUCACACACAUACACACAAUAUAGUUUUUUAAGGCUUUAUUUAUUUAUUUUUUUUCUCAAGAAAGAAAAUUUUUUCCAGGUGGUGGUGGUGUAUGCCUUUAAUCCCAGAACUCAGAAGGCAAGGGGAAGGCAGAUCUCUGGAGUUUGAGGACAGCCAGGGCUACACAAAGAAACCCUGUCUUUUAAAGAGAUUUUUUUUCUUAGAACUUUAUUUUUGUCUUCCACAGUUCUAUUGAUG
rnacentral:lncRNA from 1 species